CAAGUAUAAAAUUAUGUAAAUGCACGACAAAUGGGGCGGAACCUUCGCGCAAAAACAAUGGCUAUGACAUAAGAAUCUCAUAAUAGCGAUCAGCGCGAUAUCGGGUCUAGUCACAUCCGCCGCCGCCGCCGCCUCGUGCUCCAAGACCUCCUCAUUUCUGACACGAUCACGCUGGCGCUCCGUUAUCUCAUAGAUCGCUCCAUCAAUCCGGAGAGUGACUCUUUGAAAGCCUUCUUAAAAGAUCCGUUGUCGACUGGGACGCAAGGGAUGAGACGCCAUCCGGUUAAAUAUGUACUUAACCAGAUGGCGUCUCAUCCUUCCAAAAUAUUACAAGUCCGUGCCAGGACAUACCUAUAGAAAAGAGUAUGGCGUCUGUAAAAACAAAGUUUUAACUUCAUACGAAUGCAUUUAUUAGUCAAAAUAAUGUAGUAAUUAAAUUUAUACCGGAAGUUAAUAAGUCGAUUAGCGAAAAUAUAGUCAGGCUUAACAAAAACAGGUGUCGGAGACUGGUGCUUCCGGAGUCGCUCAAGGUCGCCGUGAGCACCUACUGCCACUCGAGCUUCCACACAAGGCACCGCUCGUGCUAAUUGUGCACACACGUGCAACGUUGUGCGUACACGGAGCACCGAGCACACAAACACAUUAGGUACACACAUGAUUCCGUGAAUUUUCAAUUCAGACAACGACGCUUUGUUCACGAUACUGACUAAACUCGAGAGAUACGAGUACCUCUCAGAGGACAGUAGCCGGAGUUACGGACGUUAACGCAAAAGUGUGUUGACCAAACCAAAAUCAAGAAAAAGCAGCCCUGCUAAGCUAUUUGCUGAAUCAGUCGCUUUAAGAAUAUAAAAGCCAGCUGAAUAGGUUUCCACAGAAUAUAUAUGUGCUGAGAUAUUUUGUAUCUUAGGCACAUUGCAAUUGUUGACUUUACCAAUAAACCCUUACAUGUUCUAACCUGUAAAAUGUAAAUUUUAGAAAGAUCAAUCUCGUGUUUACAACGACACUACAAGAUAUUACUGCAAGGUAUCCAGUUGUUGAUAUUACAGGAUCAAUCCUGAUGCUCAAUCUAGGUAAUCGCUGUCCACGCGCGUAUUAUCUAAUUUAUCGUUUAAUUUUGCAACUAGAAGACCAUAACAACAUAGCGGCUUCCUGGUAUGAAACAUGCUUUAACGUGCUGGUGUGAAACACGCUUUAACGUAGCAAAACAAAAAAACUGGCGAACUAUUGAGAACAUACUGACUUACGGAGUGUUGUAACUUGCAAGGUAUGAAGAUAUGUGACGAGGAGAAUACGCAGGUAGGUCGGCGGCUGAUUGCUAUGAGGCGGGGGCGCUGUGGGUGGCGGUGUGACGAACACUAAACAAAGCAGCGAGACCUCACGGGGCGGGCUCAGUGCACGGCCUCAUUCUCACACUCAAAUUUUCAUUUUCCCGGAAAAAAAUCAUGUCACGACUCGGCACCAAGUAAAAUUUAUUCAUUUCGAGACUUUAUAUACGUAAAUACAUCAUGCAUCACGCCGCUUAAGAACUGAUUUAUGUUUAAUUUAUUCUCAGGCUUAACCAAAGCAUAAGCAAAAGGGUAACAGUUCAAAGAUUUCAGACGAUAGUGUGGAAACCCGUGGCCUCUACAAACAAUCUACGAGUACGUGGACUCUGGACGUCCAUCGAAAGAAACGAUAGCUGAUGAAAUUUUCCGCUAAUAGAACGUUAGGAGACCAAACUUUUUCACGUGCGUCGGGGGCGUUCAUCGCGCGGAUUUCGUGGCCCGUCCGCACCGGAGAAAAUUAGGUCACCGUCGGAGCAAGGUUAAGGACCAUCGAACUGCGUCACAGCGACCGCCCUCCCCGCGCCCGCUCCCGCCUCGUCCUGCCAUGGGAAUAGCUACUUGUAACCACGGCCUGUGUAGCAUGCGCCAGAUUAAGUUUCAAGCUUAAGAAAUGAUACAGUUGCAAAUAGCGCAGCUAAAUAAAUAAUUUUAUGAACUUGGAACCUUACUGCAUUUACAAAGUGAUGAUUGGUUCGAAACUUGUAUUACAUGUUGCAAAAUUACAUUUCCUUUUUAUGACUUUGUUUCAUAAAAAGGCCUUUGUCAAAAGCUCUCAAUGCAAUAAAGUAAAAAUAAAACUAAUCAAUUAAUUUUCGUACAGUUUUUACCAAUAGAUAAGAUGAAUCUUAAGGAAGUUUUAGAUAUUCAAAUUGUUCAUUAUAAAUUGUGAAAUAUGACAAUGUUUUUGAGAUGUUUAUGAAUCAUGCCGACUCAAAGUUAUGUCUGAGGCGCGUAAUCAAAUAAAAUCCCUUUCCGCCCUCGUCGAUGUAUCAUCAUCAUCACAUCAGCGGCGGGGGUCCACAGCUGCACAUUGGCCUUUUGUAGGGAUUUACCAAGAAUAUUAUUUCCUGAACCGCCUUAUGAUUAGCAACUCCCUGUUUCAGUCGCACCGGACGAGCAACACCGGACGAGCUGCGCUUUUCUGAGCGGGGUUGCCAUUCCAGCAUCUCAGGACCUGUCCAUCAACUUAUCGAACAUCGACUGAUUGCCUAUUGCCACUUCAGUUUCACAUCUAGCUGAGGUACAUCGGAGACUUAGUUCUUCGGCGAAUUGCCUCAUCUUUACUAUGGAAACACUCAGACAAAGAUACGUCUAACGUCUGCCGGCCAGAACCACGGACAACUAGCCUGACGAAUAAGCUCAUUUAUUAAUUAAACAAACUCACAAUUCACAUGUAUUAAUUGGGGCAUGCUAAUUAAAAUAAAUAAUAACUAGGCCGUCUGGCUGGAAGUGGUCUGCGUCGAGCCGCCGCGGCAGCACUCAGCAUCCGUGCUCAUGCCGGGCCAGCGAUACGCUCCGACAUGACACGUGUCGACAGCUACACACGAGCAUGAGUAGUAUAAACAAACGUGAGUCGGUUUCCUAGCAGCGAUUGAUCUGAUAGCUCGCCGACGAUUGUGUCACGGAUUACAGCGAUAACGGAAAGUGUGCCAAUCGCUAUCACGGUCAACGUAUCGUUAGCGUUAGCGAUACGAUAACUUUUUAUGGCAAUGUUUUGAUACAUUCGGGACGGUGUAUGACUUGAGAAAUUUUAGUACUAAGCUAAUAAUCCUGAAACUACAAUAACCUAUUUCAAGCGUUAAGUAUAUUGUUUCAUGAACAUAAUACGUACACACCUCGUAAGAAAUAUUUCACUUGGACAUCUGUAAAUUAACAAAUUGGUGCAAUUCUUUUCGUAAUUUUCUUUCGGAAUUGUACUUAAUCGAAUCAGCACCAAGUUUGCGCUCUCAUUUUCCUUUAAUAGUAAAAUGACACCGUCCUCGUUGUCACCGCGCUAAGGGCAGCAGCACACGCGCUACUUCUGCAGUAGCUAGCAGCUUGUACUGCUGAGUAUUCUGAGCUAAGGCUCGUAUGACUCGUACCUUUGCUAUACGAUGUGCGCUAUGCUUCGUCAGCGUAUGACACUAUGUGUAUUACAUGCGAUACCCUGCAGCAAGGUUCCAUCGGAUCCAGUUGAUUUAUUGCGUUCUAUUUCUGUGUCAGUACGGAUUUGGUGUUCGGAAGACUCCACAAAAUACCAAUGCCCUUAGGUGAACGUUUGCCUGCUGAUAUGAUAAUGAUGGUUAUAUUACAACUUUUGACAUUGCACCCAUUAAGGGAAUCGGUGCAAUAAGUCGCUCGCAGAAAUGCUGAUAUCUAGAUCCUCUAAAGACCAACCGCUUCUAAAUUCUGUCAAGUUUUCACAUUUGACCAGGUCGCCACGACUGGAGAUUGCCGAACAACUGCCAAUGCGAAAAGUAUCCCGUGUGCUGCGUCCUUUAGUUGUCGCUAACGGCCCGCUUUAAGGUUAACGAGGAUCAUUCAUCCUAAUUCGCGACUCGUCACGGAGCCGGCGCGCAAUUAACCCCGACCGCGACACCGGCCGGCUUUGAUCCUGAAAUAGACCUUGGCUCAUCACGACACCACAGCGGCGGCUGAUUUUUUGAUUUACGAGCACGUCGCCUGCGUCCGACGUCGGUGUACUUCGCUCAAUAUGACGUUUCGACACUUGGUUUACGUACAAGAACUUGAACUAACGGGGAAAAUGACUGGAUGUGAGAAUCUGUCUCAACCAAUGAAAAAUACUUUUUUAUCAAAUCUAGCUUUUAACAACAGAUGUGCACAGUAGCCUACAAUAAUAGAUUGCAACUACGAAACUUCUGAUAAGAUGAUAAAUUGAUAACAAAUGGUUGAACUAGACUAUUUAUAGACCAAUAUUUGGAUCUUAUUCUAUUCUAAAACAGCAUUCGCCAACUUAGAUGUAUAAUGUGGUUAGUGGAUAGUGUAAUGUUAGUUAUCUAUCGCGAGACUGCUUGUUGCUGCGCCCCGCUCGCGACCCGCUUCUCGGCUCCUUCCGAGAGUUGACUAUUCAUGUGAACCACUGUAGAGGCGCGGCCGUUGAAGAGUCAACCCGUCAUCUUUAUGUGAUGAGCUCAGUGGAGUACUUCGAUGCAAAAUGCCUUGGUUCGAAAGAAAUUCGAUAUUUUUGCCAGCGAGUAGAACGGUUUUAUCAAAAUCAGUAAUUUUCUUUUAUUUAUUGAAAACAACGUGUAUCUUAUUUACAAUAUUAUAAUACCAUUUAGGCACAGAUCGAGGUAAUUCACUAACAGUGGAAUUCAUAGACGUUGUAGGGGCACCCCGAGGGGAUCAUUCAGCUGCUGAGUGUCGAAUUUAAUUUCUAUUGGUUUGGGAAUUUGACAAUCCGCGAUUGAAUAAUCCCCUGGGAGUGUUCCUACAACGUCUAUGAAUUCCACUGUAAGUUUAUCAUUAACAAUAUUAUAGUAUAAAACUGGCAACGGCAAAACAAACGGUACUUACUCGCAGGCGCAUCGUUACAUGCAACAAGUACAUGACAGCGAGUAGGUACAUAUCUAUCGUCAAGUACAAAACGCUCGAGCGAUGGCCUCAGGCCACUGGACGGCAGGAUUGUCCAACACUUACAAUAUUUGCAGUUGCAAUGUACUUAACUGAUGUUAUCGAUCAUUUCUGUCCUAGAUACGAUGCAAUGCUCCGCAUGCAUGUAAUGCACUGUACGACAUGGCUCUUUACCACGCACUGCAAGAAGCCGGACAGGCUUCCAUUCUUAUGUCAGUGUUAUCCGUAAUAUUUUCGUUUCUUCAUUUCUUAUACGCAUAGCUGCUAGCUAUACUACAAAAAGUUAAGACUGCUCACUGUGUGUUCGUCUUCGCUAAAAAUCGCACGUCCCGUUCUAGCGGGAACACAUUGUAGUCGCUCCUACAUGUGCUUGUAUAGAACAGAUUUUACACAAUAGCAAUCUGUAAUGCACUAAUAUUAGCAAAUUGUGAUGAUAAACGAGGACACUGUUCGUUCAGCGGUGCGGCGAUAGAACAACACUAGGGCUUCCCGCCAUGUUACUCAUCGACUUCUCUACAAUCGCUAACGCUUCGAUAAUUAAAACUUGUAUGGAAUGACAUUCGUUAUCGAUAGGUAGGGUAAUUCCAGGAUACAUGCCCCAGUGGGAUAGAUGACUUGAUUUUCAUUUCACUAUGUUAGGAGCACUGUAGGAGUUAAAUUUUACUGUAGGUAACGAGUCCUCCCCCUGCAAACCUUAGUGUCGGGAGGAAUUUCGACCGGAGUGCAUGCGUUUCGUCUAUGUGAGUAAAAAUGUUCCGCGGUGAGACGAUAAAAGGCGCCAAAAUAAGAUUCAAGAGCAAAAUACCUCGUAAAUAUAAAAGAAAACAGGGUGUUGUCCCUCGUACUGUAACCUAGACCGAAGACAGUAUGCUAGCAAAGUUUGAAGAGAUGAAAAAGAGAGAGAAAGGCGUAAAUCAGAUUUCUAGAAUAUAAGGAAUACCAUCUAAAAUAUUAAGACGAAGAUUUGCCGUUAACAGCAAUUCUUAUUUUCAAAGUUACUGUAUGUGUUGUUGCUUUAAAUUUGAAUUACUUUUACUUUGUAUUGUAUUGCAUCAUAUCAUUGUAGUUACUGUCCGGCAUGAUUAUUACUGAAAAAAAUUAUAUAUAUCCAGCAUUUAUUUUUAUUUGUUUUAUGAAAACAUGCUGUAAUAACAAAAAACGACUCGUGGCUCUUACAUUCAAAUUAGGAGAAGCUGGAUUUCCGCUGGACCGAACAGCAAUACGUCAGUUAGCAUACCAGUUUGCUAAAAAGCUACAGCUAAAGUAUAACUUUGACAAAGAUGGCAAGGAAAUGACUGACCAUAAAUACUGAUUAUAAUAAUAUAUGUAGUUGUUUGAUUACAGAACAAACCAAUUACAAUGUUCAAUCUAAGCCGCCAAUUCCCACUAAGGGCACCUAUCCUCAGAAGUUUUUUCAUGAUAAGUCUUCUAUCCGCCACAGUAGGCGUCUAUCCCAUUUUUUAGAGGUCCAUAAAAUUACAAUUUACACAAAAUCUACACAGUCUAUAUCAAAAAGAUUCAGAUAAUAUAGAACAUUAAGAAAUAUAUUUAAUAUCUCCCAAAGAACGCAAUCCUCUAAGAUUAUAAAAUUCGGAGUUAUUUAGCAUUUUCGAAAAGUGGGGCAUCUAUCCUGGACUUACCCUAUGUCACGUAAUCAAUACAUCAACGGGAUAGGUCUUUCCCGUACAUGUUUUAGAAUUAGUGUUACACACGGUUAGGUGCCCAGUUGUUCUUCACAGCCACGGCCAAGCCAAAAAUGCCCGCGUCAUUGUAAGUAAUUGCGGCCUCUGUGCGAGGCAUCGCGGCUCGUGACGGGCGCGCCUCCAUAUAUGUCUGGGAAAACUGCUUUCUAGGAAAUUCGUUAGGUCCUACCGGUGCGCAGGCGCUUUCACCGGCGAGCGGCGAGCGGCGCCGGCGCCCACGCGCGCGACAUAAUGCAGCGCCCAUGUCGCAGACUUGUGCACUAUAUAGUUGCUUAUGCUUACACCCACUUAAUACACCAUUUAACUAAUUAUGAACGAAAUAUUUUCAAUGUCGCUACAAAAAUUAAAGGAAAGCAAUAUUGGAUUAAAGAAAAGAAAUAAUGGUUCAUAUGUUUAAAGUUAUUUCGAUCAAUCUUACCUAAUGAUCGAUCAUACGAGUACGUACGUAAGUAAUCUGAAGAUCAUAUACAAUUUAAACUAAAUUCAAGUAGAAAAUUCAAAAACAUUAAAUAUUUGAUGCAACUCAUAUCAUAACUUCAUUUGGAAGUUCGUUUGACCAUUAUUUAUAAUAAAGUUUUUAAACAAACCUGUUUAUGAUGGUGAUUAUUAGCAAUAAUGAUUGAAGGCAUUACCAAUAACGUUAAGUAUAACAAUUUAGCUGCAAGUACUUAUAGAACAAUAGUGGAAGCACCCACUAGCCAGUGGACACCUUCGCUAGAAGCUGCUUAUCUCGCUGAUUGCGAACUUUCUCUACGAUUAGGAAAUACGAGCAAAUAUAAUAUAAAGCUUUAUUUUGAGCUCAGCAUUCAGCAACGCACCGUGUACCACGAGUGUUUAAACUUUUGAGUCAAGUCGAUAUAUCGAUGGUCCUUUUAUUUUAAUUAUUAUCAUCAUCAUCAUCUUUUUCACAGCUUCUCUCAUCGUAGGAGACGGUAAACUACGGAGUUUACGCGUAAUGCCACAGCUAGUAAUGCCUUUGGGGCUACAAUCGUUAGUGGGUGUUAAUGAUAAAGCGAUUCGGAAUACAGAAUUCAGGUUACCGGAAUCGAUUGACGACUUUGACGGUCACCUGUGAUCGACGACACGUUGCACAGUGGUAUGCGCGGUGGAUUUACAAGACGAAGGUCCUGGGUUCGAUCCCCGGCUGGGCCGAUUGAGGUUUUCUUAAUUGGUCCUGGUCUGACUGGUGGGAGACUUUAGCCGUGGUCAGUUACCACCCUACGGUCAAAGACGUAACCGCUAAGCAAUCUAGCGUUUCCAUAAGAUGUCGUGUAGAAACCGAAAGGGUUGUGAAUUUUCAUCCUCCUCCUAACAAGUUAGUCUGCUUCCAUCUUAGAUUGCAUCAUCACUUACCAUCAGGUGAAAUUGUAGUCAAGGACUAACUUGUAAAAAAAAAAGAUUAGACACCGAUUUCCGAUUUAUUGAGCUGCUGGCGAUUGAAAAUUUCUUCAAAUUUGUACAUCGCGGUACACCCAACUGUCCGCCAGCGCAUUAGCUAUUAUUACAUUUAGAAAGUGAAUUUCCGCUCAUAUGCUAAUCCGUACGAGAUAUGACAAUUGGGCCCUCGCACAAUAGCGCUCAUACUUUUACCUUUACCGGCUCGCGUCGGCCGAGCGUGCCCGCCACCGCCAGUCGCCACUUUGUGCUCUCUACACACUUCGGACGGUACAACUCCUCUACAACUUUACCAGUCUGAGUAUACAUAUAUCGUGGCGUAUAACGAAGUGCCCCAAAUGUUAAACUAUUAACCAGUACACUCUCGGUACGCCCCGGGGACGCAGCCCCCCAGCGUCGCGGCGGGUGGCAGGUCGCUCACCUGUCCGCGCUAUCAGUCCGCUCACUGUUGACGUCCUCAAUAGCGCUAUCGACACGAUUGCGUCGAUAACGAGCCCAGGGCGCCGGCAGCUAUCGGCGGAUCAGCUUAAUUCGCCGAUGAGCUAUAAUUGCCGAUUAAGAUUUAGAUCAAACACGUCUGCGAUUUAAUAUCACUAUAUUAGUACGAUAUACGCUGUUGUAUUCACUUAAUGUUUAUUAAGGUGGUUAAUAGAGUAAAGAUAGCCAAUAUAAAAUGUUCAUUAACCUGUUUUACGAAUAACAUAACAAUAUUCUAUCAAACAAUUAAAUAUGCAAUACAUUCACGUAAUACGAUAUUACGAUCAACUGUAAAACAACAAAAAUUGAAAUGGUCGUGAAGAAGACAAUACGAGUGCACAGGAGCGUCUCUGCCGCCAUCCAUACACUACAUACAAAGGCACUUCGUCUGCGACCGCGGCUGCAGCGCUGCUGUGACGUAACACUGCGAGCAGUGGAAGACAUAACCGCCGACAAAAACAUCUCUUAUGUAAAUGCAGAGCUCGCACAAAAACGUUCGCCCCGAGCGAAGCGACAAUACAUGGCUCGCACAAAAACGUUCGGUUCGUGCUCGCAAAAACAAUUCGCUUACGAGCACAUUGUGCCGGGCCCGCUCGCGACCUACUCCUCGUGUUUCAUUACAAAUCAAUUUGUCACAAUCAUACUCUUUUUGUUUGACAUUAGGUUUUUGUACUCGAUUGCAAGGUACAUCACGGUGAUAUCACCUUUCGAUAACCCGGCGGUAGUACGGAAAGGUAUUGUGUUUAUUAAAGGAUAGGUUAAAGAGCGAAGCGUCAUUAAAUUCCUACAAUGACUCUAUCGUAUAUACAUAUAGGCUAUACAAGGCUUCUGGAUGAGUAUGCCUGUAUGCUCACUAACAUAGAAACGCGAGAUAGAGCUCAUUUAUUAUAAUCGCUCGCAGAAGACAUCAAUAUAUUAGUUGACCAGAAAACGAAUAUGGGACUACAAGUUUCACACGGCAACACCGCACCCUCUGUUAGGGAAGACGAACAAAGUUUUUCAAUAUCUCAAGUAACUCCAAAAGGGCGUCAAAGAAAGCAAACUACAAAAAGAAACAAGUUCGAUAUUCCGCAAAAGUUGUACAACACAAGUUUCGCUCGUGUUCACAAAAGCAUCUCCAUAAAUAUCGAACAUUCGCUUGUAUUACAGUUGGUGCGCACUCGAUAACUAAGUUAUUCGCAACAUCACACACUAGUUAACAAAGGAAUUAUUGUUAAAACAUAUCGCAUUGAUAAACACUGAUUUUCUACAACCUACAUUUCGAAAGACGUCUGCUUAUAUAUCCUGUUUAACUUAAACAGUUGAAGUGGAAUGUCAAUAAAGCGAUCGGUAGAACGUCCGCUGCCAAGAAUACCAGACUUUAAACUAAAGAAAUGAUGUAGAGUACGUGAUAUGAGUCCUCGUGAAGCAGUUCACAGUGAAAUAUCACUUCAACAGCAAUUUUAAAAUGCCAUCGGCUAGACGGUAGACGGCGGGACGCGGUUCCGGCGGCGCCGCUCGCCCGCAGAGCAGACGGCGCAGACGAUACCCUGAAGUGAGGUCAAAGAUCUACGGCCACUUGCGACUUCGUCCUGCAGACAUUAGUAAUAUGCAAAACAACUAAUAUCUGCGCGAAAUGCGAAUAUUGGUUUGAGGUUUUUGCUUUCCAACUCGAGGUUUCGAGUCUUAGUUCUACCAAUUAAAUACGAGCUUUUCUUUUUUCUUAGAAAUUCUUAAUAGCAGUUCGGGCAGUUGGGGUGGGGUAUAGAUGUAUGUAUACAGUGUCGGUGGGGUCACGACUCUCGGCACGGGCACCUCCCGGCCCCCUCAAUAAGUCGGCACGGUGAUUACCGCUCGCCACGCGUGCUCGUCCGUCACGCAUCUACGGACAAGCCGACUUGGAACUCGUUAGCGCGCUUUAACGUUCGAGUGGUCUGCAUCGACCCGCGGACAGUUACCACAUUGACGAGGUGAACUGCAAUUGAAAUUGGAAUAUUUAGCGGUUAUCAACAUCGCGUAUAUUGAUUGUUUUGCCCUUGUACCCUUAUAUGGCUCCGGAUAUUCACAUACGGAUUGUAGAGACCCCUGAAAUUGCAAAUUGUAGCGCAAAUCAAGAGACGUCACAAAUUACAAGAUUCAACUACAAAAAACUUCAUCAACUGGACUGGAAUGAGGGUAUAAGUGCAAUACAUCUAAAGCUAUCAGCUAUCAAACUUAAUUGCAUUAAUCAAGAGUGUACCAGCAUCAGGCCUGCUGGAGUCGGUGAGUGUGUGGCGCGUCCGACGGCGCGAUGCAAUCAGUCGGUGCACGGGACAGGGGGACGCGACGACUGUUUGUACAUCCUUAUUAGAUUGCAACUUACAUUUCAAUUCUGGGUGGCAUAUCUCCCAGUCAUAGUACUAUUAACACAAUCAUGCUAAAAUAUUAUGACUCGAACGCUCGAGAGAUUAUUAAUGGACCUUAAAAAGUCUUUAAAUACAACAAAUGCAUUCCCAAGUUCACAUAUGUUCACACGACAACGUUUUUUCGAGCAGUGUUGCUUUUUCAAUUUUGGACGUUGGAAACAGACCUUCAUUUAACUUCAUACUAUAUUUGAACACUUUUAACGUCCGUUAAAAAAACUCUCGUGCGGAUGAGGACUUAAUGUGUCAAGCCUACGGUGGAUGGAAAAUUAAGUUUUUAUGAAGUUUCUUAUUGUAUGACGCAAUGAGGACUAUUACAACUCACAAGGAGAUUGGCCAAAACGCACCAUGACCACGGUCUAGACGAUCUGUGGUCAUAUUAGAAACCGCAGCCGCAGCAGAAUGGUUGCGCGGAAAUUACGAAGUACACACGAACGAGCACGAAUUAUGAGCAAAAAGUUGCCCGUCAGCGAUCCGGCAGCCUUGUCCGCAUCGCUUGCACCGCUCAAUGCUUAUCUCCGACUGUAUUAUUGUUAAAGAAAUAACUGAUAACUUCAGAAAUAGUAGAUCAUUAUACUGUUGUCAUCAUUACCAUUAAGGACCCAUCACAAGGCCAGGCCUCCCUCCUUGUAGGAGAGGGGAUGUGGAGCUUACACCCACCACACAGCAUCAAUACGGAUUGGCGGGCUUUGGGUAAUAAUGUUCAAUUUAUUAACGACUAAUAACAAAUGAAAACUCAGUAUCUCAUAGCCUGACCCAAGUUCAAACCUAGGACCUCAUGAUCCGACGUCACACAGUCUAACCACCACCAACGAGGCAGCGUUUAUUAUUGUAAAGCGAUAAGAAUACUGUCCGUCCGGUGCCAGGGCGCAUCAACGCAGUUUUGACGGGUGACAAUUUCAACGCUUUCGUGAAAGUUACCGGAGGAAAAGUUACACAAACACGCAGAACAGGAAGACAUAACUUUCGCACCAACACUCGUGGCUCUGGGUUAAGCUGAACGUUUUUGAAAGUCAGCACUAUUAAACUAAGCUUGCGGGCCGCGUAUUGCGACCAAUUUACAGAUAACUUCAAAUUUUGUAAUGAUUCUACCCUCUACUCAAAUGUACAAGAUUUUCCUUAAACCUCACCAAUUGAUAAAAAUGUUAAUUAGGUGCAAAUUAUAAAUUACUCUAUUUCUCGAGUGAAGAUGGAAGUCAGUCGAAAUGUCGUGAAGGGAAUGAGGCCCUUGUAUUGUAAUUGAAAAAUCCCUCAAUCAUAUAUUUCAACAUAUAACAUUCAUACUAAUAUUAUACUCGUUAAUGCGAAAGGAAGUCUGUUUGUCUGUCUGUUACCUUUUCACGGCUAAACGGCUAAACCGAUUUAGAUGCCACUUGUUAAAUUGGACCUUGGAACAUACCUAUGCUACUUUUAUUCCCUAAAAGUCUGUGAUUUUCGUGGGAUUUAUAAAAAACAGAAUUUCACGCGUUCGAAGUCGCGGGCGUUCACUAGUAGACUUUAUAAAUGUGUUUUAACACAUUGAUUUAAACCGGACUGGAAGAUUGUAAAAUCUCGAGCAUCCACUUAUAGACUUUACAAUCUUUCAGUCCUUUUUAAAUCAAUGUGUUGAAAUUUAUACCAGCCACACGCCAACCAGUUCUCAAACUGAUAGGUACUAGCUUCGUUUGCACACGACCUCCAAACAGCAUGAUUCUCAGUAUUCAUUGAGAACGAAACGUUGCAAAAAACUCAACUAGAUUACAUAAAAGGAUAUUUAUUCAUUGAAAUGAACGUAUUUAAAAUAUUUCAUUUCAAUAAAUACGUAAGUAAUUGAGAAGAGAACUAGAGAACUAAAAAGCAGCAAUGACUUAUCCCGAAGCAAUGACUUAUAGCGUGACCACACGGCACACACUUUCGCUAUGCAAACGGUUGCGCAGACAAAAGUUAGAGCUAGGACUUCGUAGAGACAAGUUACGACUUCAAUUUUCAGGCAGCUUGGAAGGUACUUUUACAAAUAAGAGCACAAUUUUGUUGACAGAUUAUGAUACUAACUUUAUUUAAAGUUAAACCAAGUUGACUAUAAACUGACACGUCAAAGUCUGACAAAGUCUACGCGUGGUCUACACUCUUCACAGUGAUGUCUGACACCGUCUCAUGUCUACACAUCUCUGUACACCAACGUAUGACUUCUCAAACACGCUGCACAGACUAAAGUCUGUGCCGUGGCCCGUGUGAAGCCAACCUUAAUCUCGGCGAGUAGUUCUGGUACGAGCUCAACAUCAUUAGCGACGCAUUAUUUCGCUGCAACACAAGUGCUGUCAGAAAUGUACACUUUCGACGAUGUAUCAACGUCUACAGUUGUGAAACCCGUUAAAGGAAAUGGCCGUAGAACUUUCGCUCCACUUUAGCCGUUCAGGAAUUAUGUCUCUUUCCGGAGUUCUACAUCUUAUACAAACCCUGGUACCCAUUACUUUACUAUUAGUGCCAUUGGCAGUAGGUAAAACAGGCUAUUUUCUAUGUACACUUAUUAAAGAUGUGAAUAAAAUAAAAUACUCAUCACUCAAUACGGAAGAAUCAAGAUUCCACGCACUCAUUGUACGAACUUUUUAUGGCACGUCACACGAAAACUAGCUAAAGCUGAGAUUCAGAGUUAUUACGUUAUUUAUUUACGAGUUAUUUAUGUUAUUACGAUUGUUAUAGUCUCUGUAUACGUAUGAUAUGAUAAAUGCAAGUCAUUAAACAAACAAGCAAGAAACCUUACAACGAAACUUCGUACCUAUUUGUUUCUCAUCGAUUUUAAACUAAGAGUGAAAGCUGUUCAGUUUCCGGCGAGGUCCACGCAACAUUUUCAAAUCCUCUGCAAUGGUGAUAGAGCUGUGACACCGUCACGCUACAUAUCUACCAUGUAAAAGGUUGAAAGGUGCAUAGUAAUGCGUUCACGUCGCACGAAACUAUCGCAACCCUUCUCGAGAGAGUUGAAUGAUUUCAGAAGCAGUUGUUAAUUGCGAAACGUCGGCUAUUGUGCAGCAGCGAUUACAGUAACACGCCGAUGUGUGAACUGCACUGCACAGAGAUGAACAGUCAGCGUGCACCAGCGGGUAGGCUGAACAGUUGAGUGAGCAGUCUCAGCGCCGAUCCCAAGCGCCCUGGACCUUAAUAUUAUUUGUAAGCCUACAAGUUUUUGUUACGACAACAAUGUUGUUGUUGUUGUUAUUGAAACAACACAAAUACGCACUUUCACUAUUGUGAUUCAAUCAUUCAGUCAAUACCAAAGUUGAAAUCAAAACGAAUUUUCCAGUCAAUAAAGAUCAUUAGCAUUAGUAAUUAUUGGUAUCGUCUUUGUAGACGGCUUUUAUAUAACGCAUCGAAUGUCGUGAAAUAGGUACAUGCUCCAAAUCUCGUGAUACCAUAUUCAAUAAGGCAAACGUUGACGCAGCCAGUCCCAGCACGGUACAGCACAACCGGUGCCGGCGCCUGCCUUGUGUGCUGCCGCCGGCCGGUUACCGCUGACAUGUUGACAUCGUUGCAGUUUUUGUGCGCGCGCCCUUGCUACUACUGCCACAGUGGAAAGCUUGGCUUCGAUUAUCAGAGGCAUUGACGCAAACUAUUCCCACUCACAUAUCCUUACCCACUAUACUCAUAUAAUUUUUUUUUUAUUAAACUUGAAAACAGUGAAGACGAUGGUAUUAAUGAGUAAACAAUAUUUUUGGGACUACAAUAUUGCUUGAAUGAAAGCUUAUACACUUAUUUAUGAGAAGAAUAUUUUGAGAAUGCUCUGGAAACAUACAUUUGUAGCAAUUAGUCUAGCAUUAGAAAUGGCGGCGUAACCUCGAAGGAGCUACACUCCACACCACCAGUACAGUCGGGACCUAUUAAAUAUUAUAGAAGAAAAUCAUUCUAUCCAAUAUCUAAGGUCCCGACUGUUUUCUAAUUGCUUUCUACACUUCUGGACUGAGCUUGUUUUUUUUUUUUAUUUUCAGUUUUUUUAUACUUUAUGCAGUCGGGUUUUUUAUUUGUUUAAUUAUUACAUUAUGGUUAUUGUGAUAAGGCUAAAGAUGAUACUAUUAUACAUAUAUGUAUUCGUUUACAAUUUCGAGUGCAGCGUUCUCAACUAUAACUGGGUGGAGCGAAACAUGAGCAUUACACAUUAUUUUUGUUUUGGCCGUAUUCGUUUUCAGGCCCACCUGUUGAGAAACUGUGCUGAGCUCAGCAGCAGCAGAAUUUACACUAUCGUGAGUUUAUUCAUAUUAAUUUGUUAUGAUUCAGUUUGAAUCGUGCCGCGUUGCAAGAACCAGCUCAUGUCUAAGGGCCCCGUAUGGGUUCAAAACUAAUAGGGCAUAUUCCGACGUUGUAUCACGUGAAUUUUAGCCGUGUUUCCUAUUAAACUAUUAUAUUUUGUUGGGCACAGCAAAGAAAUUUCGCUAUCUAUAGCACGUUGCAGGUUGGCGGGUUUGUGUGUCUUAGGAUGUCUUUUUAUACUCUGUAAAUCAGUAAUAUACAUCUGGUAUGAGUCACAGUGACCCAGUUCUCAAGUUUCAUGACCGAACACACUAACCCUGCGGUUAGCGACCACCGCGCCGAGCGCAGAGUACACACUUGACCGCUCGACCACUUUAUUAAUAUACUCGUACUCGUAGUAGCUGAUCCGGCAAACGUUGCUCUGUUAUACAAAAAUACUAAAAUCGCGAUUAUAUAAUGGAGGAUGGGAGGAGGGCAAAGAUUAGUUUACUACCUAGUCUUAGACCUACAGUAUAUGCCUAUGAAAAACUCAAGCCAAGCCGUUUCGCAGGAGUUUGCCUCCAAACUUGUCUAGAUUUUUAUACAUAUAAUGCGGAUGGAUGAUUGGUUCGUCACAAGUGUUCACUGCAGGCAGCGUGAUGUGACAGCGUGCGGGACACCACACACCGGACACAUCACGCAAUACAACAAUAGGCAUUGCGCGAGGCGGGGUGAAAGCUGCACACGUCAGAUAUGAGCUAUUAUGAUUGUGUCAGCAGAACAUCUUUCCGCCUCACGGGUAUUACAAAGUACUAAGGAUCAACAUUUGAAAGGUGGAGUGACACAAACUACCACUCACACCUCGCUAGCACAGAUCUCCUGUGAGCGGCAUCACCAACUAGACAAAAGCACCGUUAAUUGGCUAUUGAAAUAUGUAAUGCUCUAUAACUUCAAUUGCAAUACCGACAAUAUAAUACGUGCCGUCCUACACGUGAACUUGGAAUUUACUGUUUGACUGUUGCGAACAAUCGCAAUUUUCCAUGAAAUGGAGCAGUCGUUUUAGGUGCACAAAUAAAAUUAUCCAAGAAAUAAAAAGUCACACACUCUCAAAUUUAAGUGCUAAUUACAAGUUUAACUGUUAACGUUUCGCUGAAUAAAAUAAUAAAAAUGUGGAAAAGUUAUGCCCGUGCGCGUUAACUUGACACCUGGCUACCAAACAUAAAUACAAACAGUACAAACAUCAUUCGAGCCAGGUGUCAAGUCAUUCCGGACGAGCUGUAUAUACGAAGCCUUUUGUGACCGCGCGUGGCCCGCGCUUCGCACCUUGCGCCUCUCGCAGGACAUUUAUACAUUUACGUAAUUUACUAUUUACUUAAUUUCGAAAAUUUUUAUCUUUAAUUGACACUACAUAAUGCUUAGCACCAUAUUUUUAAUAGCCAACUACGUCACAGGCCUGCUCUCUUUUGUAAUGCCUGUCAGUUAUAAGGGAGUGACUGAUACGGAGUUACGUCGCAGGAUUACAGUAGGCCCAUGGUAACAAUGUCCAUAAGCUACAAACAGUGUAAAAGUAACAACUUCUAAAAAUUAACAAAUUACGGUUAAAGUCCCCAAACAUUUUUGCUCACAUUUGAUCAUAUUAGUCCCUCGCCACGCAGAAUAGUUUGUUCCGCGCGGGGCCCACAUCACGCCAACAACCAACAGCUAGAGUAGGUACAACAACUGGUUGGCAGACAAUAGUCGCCGCCGAGCGUGUCACAACACACGAGCCAACGACCUACAAGCCAAUUAAUAACACCUCUACUGUACUCGCCCUUACAUGAUAUCGCAAAUGAAAAUCUUUUGUGGCAACCUAUUGUUUAAGUGAUCAACAACCCUUGAAGGGCUAUAUUUUUCGAUGUAGAUUAUAUGUACAUAAUUAUGUAUAUAAUUAAAUUAAGCAGCGAUCUUAACAAUUACUCAAAGGAAAAUGACAUAGCUCCGAGGGAUACAAUUACAUAUAUUAUGUACCCAUUACUCGUAACGAGCUCUUGGAAUAAUUUAAUUUCAGGUAUCCAAAGCUGCUGUAGUAGAAUCCUGACUUAAAGAAUUUGGAUCCCGUAAGGAUAGUUUCCACCGACCUGUAGUAACGCAAUUAGAUAGGCAAUCGGAGCGGUUCUCGGGGUUUUGAAUUUUAGCACGAGUAGGUCGGUGCGUCAGCGUCAUUUACAAGUUGUUUUCAAGGAUCAUUUAUGUAGUUUGGUUGAGCAGGAAGUAUGGGAGAACAACACAAGCGACGAGGGUGAGUGUUGAACCUACACAACUCCCGGGAUUUUCUCUCUGCUGGAAUCCGAACCCGGCAGCCGCACGGUAAACACGUGCAUGGAAUGCUAAGACAGUCGUAUCUUUAAGGAAACUGCAAUAUACAGCUACAAAUACUAGCCGGAUGAUGCUCAACCUACAUCUGACUCCACGGCUGCUGCGUGCUACAAGCAUUAGAACAAGCGUACUUAUGUUACUAAUCAGCUCUGUGCACGCGCCAGUAGCUCUGAAGACCACAACACGACUGUGGCAUCGUUCAAGCAGCACCUGUAGCUAUUCUGUUACCACAUUUUUACAACUCGUCAGUGAGACUUUCGCAUUCGUCUCCAUCACGGUACUAUAGACAGUGAGAGAUGGAGACGAAAUCAAAGUUCACAUGGUAACAGAAUACGCUACGCGGAGACGAUGCGACAUCGGGCCCAUGUGACUACGACGUUGUGUACUUAGCUGUACAAUUCGUGUAAUUAUAACUUCCAGCUCAGACGCGUUCACCUCGCAUAUGUUUUGAAGGAUGUAAUACGCAACGACACUUAAUUGUGGGAACGCUGAACAAUGGCCGCUCGCCCGCUGCCUACAGCGAGCAGCAGCUCUAGUACGAGAUUUGCACUAGAGCUAAUGUAUUAUGUAGGGUAGUUUACGAGCUCGACACGCUGUACUAUCUUAGGAUAGAUUGAAAAAGCAUUAUCUUUAAGCUAUUUAUUAAAAACUCAAGCCACUAUUAUUAUUAUUAUUCAAUUGUUUUACUUCAAGGUACUUGAAGUGAAACAAUUGAAACUUGAUGAGAAUUGUGUUAUGCUGUUAUUAAUUUAUUACAUACGGUUAUACGUGUACAUCGUUCAAUGUUUAACUGAGGUUAUUUAAAGUAGAUAACACAUUGUAUAGCCCGUCAAUUCACAAGGGAACAGUGUGGAGGGUCUAAGCCGUAUAUCCCCCUUAUAAGGAGGCCUGGUCCUGUAGUGGCUUGUGAAAAGCACCGCUCCCGUCGCAAAAACGUGAGAACUGAGAAGAUUCCGCACGAGAUAGUGAGCGCACCGCCGCACAAUCAAUGACAAAUGCUAAACUGUACGUACGAAGUGCAGCGCAAGUGCUGUACACUUAGUGAUGUUCGCAGACGAUGUUCAGCGCCCGCGGCUCAGUAGCGACUCGUCUGCAGACAACUCGUCUCCGAGCCUGCGCCGGGCCACGACACGGUCAGCGUCAGUGGCGACUGGUGACGCGCUACUUCUUGCCGUGUAUUGUGUGGCUGUGCGUUAUAAGUUUUAAAGUAGACGUAGAGUAGAAACGUGAAGUUCUGCAGAAUCUUAUUAUUUGAACCUGCGCCUUUACUCUCUAUUCACAUAACAUUCUACGGCGCGGCGGCGGCGCUAUUCUUUGACGGCCGCGUGGCGCAGUGGGUAGUGACCCUGCUUUCUGCAUCCACGGCCGUGGGUUCGAUUCCCACAACUGGAAAAUAUUUGUGUGAUGAGCAUGGGUGUUUUCCAGUGUCUGUGUAUUUAUACAUUAUAUAAGUAUUUAUAUGUAGUAUAUAAAUGUAUAUGAAUAUUAUAAUAUCAACUAUCUUAGCACCCAUAACACAAGCUACUCUGUAUGCUUACUUUGGGGCUAAAUAGUGAUGUGUAUUGUUUAAGUAUAUUUAUUUAUUUAUUA